AUUGAACGCUGGCGGCAUGCCUUACACAUGCAAGUCGAACGGCAGCGCGGACUUCGGUCUGGCGGCGAGUGGCGAACGGGUGAGUAAUACAUCGGAACGUACCCUGUUGUGGGGGAUAACUAGUCGAAAGAUUAGCUAAUACCGCAUACGACCUGAGGGUGAAAGUGGGGGACCGCAAGGCCUCACGCAGCAGGAGCGGCCGAUGUCUGAUUAGCUAGUUGGUGGGGUAAAGGCCCACCAAGGCGACGAUCAGUAGCUGGUCUGAGAGGACGAUCAGCCACACUGGGACUGAGACACGGCCCAGACUCCUACGGGAGGCAGCAGUGGGGAAUUUUGGACAAUGGGGGCAACCCUGAUCCAGCAAUGCCGCGUGUGCGAAGAAGGCCUUCGGGUUGUAAAGCACUUUUGUCCGGAAAGAAAUCGCGCUGGUUAAUACCUGGCGUGGAUGACGGUACCGGAAGAAUAAGCACCGGCUAACUACGUGCCAGCCGCCGCGGUAACAC
rnacentral:rRNA from 1 species